rnacentral:rRNA from 1 species
UAAAGCAAGAAAGGGCGUAUGGGGAAUGCCUAGGCACACUCCGGCGAAGAAGGACGCAGCAAACAGCGAAAUGCGACGGUGAGCGGUAAGCACGUGAAGAGCCGUCGAUAUCCGAAUGGGGGAACCCACACGGAGUCAUAUCCGUGUAUCACAUGUCGAAUACAUAGACAUGAUGAGGCGAGACGCAGGGAACUGAAACAUCUAAGUACCUGCAGGAAGAGAAAAUAAGAAUGAUUUUCUGAGUAGCGGCGAGCGAAAGGGAAAGAGCCCAAACCGAUUUGAGGAUCGGGGUAGUAGGAUCAUCGAUAAAUCAAACAGAGGAUCAUAGAGGAAUCACAUGGGAAGGUGAGCGAGAGAGGGUGAGAGCCCCGUACUCGAAAUGAGAGACUGGAGAGAGAUGACACCUGAGUAGGGCGGGACACGAGAAAUCCUGUCUGAAUCAGCCGGGACCAUCCGGCAAGGCUAAAUACGAGAGAGUGACCGAUAGUGAACCAGUACCGUGAGGGAAAGGUGAAAAGAACCCCGGGAGGGGAGUGAAAGAGAACCUGAAACCAUAUGCCUACAAGAAGUCAGAGCCCGUUAAAGGGUGAUGGCGUGCCUUUUGUAGAAUGAACCGGCGAGUUACUGUAUGGAGCGAGGUUAAGCAGGAUAUGCGGAGCCGAAGCGAAAGCGAGUCUUAAGAGGGCGCGAGUUGCAUGCAGUAGACCCGAAACCGGGUGAUCUAGCCAUGACCAGGUUGAAGUUGGGGUAAAACCCGAUGGAGGACCGAACCGACCCCCGUUGAAACGUUGGCGGAUGAGUUGUGGCUAGGGGUGAAAUUCCAAUCGAACCCGGAGAUAGCUGGUUCUCCCCGAAAUAGCUUUAGGGCUAGCGUCGAGAGAAGAGUUGCGUGAAGGUAGAGCACUGAAUAUGUGAUGGCCCCAUCUCGGGGUACUGAGCAUAAUCAAACUGCGAAUGUCACGCCAACAUGCUCGGCAGUCAGACAGCGGGUGAUAAGGUCCGUUGUCAAGAGGGAAACAGCCCAGACCAUCAGCUAAGGUCCCAAAAUGUAUGCUAAGUGGAAAAGGAUGUGGAGAUGUACAGACAACUAGGAGGUUGGCUCAGAAGCAGCCAUCCUUUAAAGAGUGCGUAACAGCUCACUAGUCGAAUGACUCUGCGCCGAUAAUUUACCGGGGCUAAGCAUACUACCGAAGCUAUGGAUCCCAAGGGAUGGUAGGGGAGCGUUCCAUGAACGGAGAAGUACGACCGAAAGGACGUGUGGAGAUCAUGGAAGAGAGAAUGCCGGUGUGAGUAGCGGAACGUGGGUGAGAAUCCCACGCACCGAAAACCCAAGGUUUCCAGAGGAAGGUUCGUCCGCUCUGGGUAAGUCGGGACCUAAGGCGAGGCCGAAAGGCGUAGUCGAUGGACAACAGGUAGAGAUUCCUGUACCCGUAUAUAUGUGAAGGAAUGACGGAGAGAGGAAGCUGCAGCCAGCGGCUGGAAGAGCUGGUGCAAGCGAGAUAUCGGGAUGGCAGGCAAAUCCACCAUCCGAAACGAGAAGGCGUGAAGCGUACGGAAAGCUACGGCGAGUACGGAAGGCAGUGGAGGAACUUCCAAGAAAAGUUUCUAACGUUAAGUAUAUAUGGCCCGUACCGAAAAUGGACACACAUGGGUGAGGAGAGAAUCCUAAGGUGAGCGAGAGAACUAUAGCUAAGGAACUCUGCAAAAUGACUCCGUAACUUAGGGAGAAGGAGUGCUCAUAGAGAUAUGAGCCGCAGUGAAACGGCCCAAGCGACUGUUUACCAAAAACACAGCUCUCUGCUAAGCCGCAAGGCGAAGUAUAGGGGGUGACGCCUGCCCGGUGCUGGAAGGUUAAGGGGAGGGGUUAACGCAAGUGAAGCCCUGAACUGAAGCCCCAGUAAACGGCGGCCGUAACUAUAACGGUCCUAAGGUAGCGAAAUUCCUUGUCAGGUAAGUUCUGACCCGCACGAA